UGCCAAACCCACUUUUCAUCCCUAAUCUUUUCAACCUAAUUCUACUCUAACCCCUACUCUUCUCUUUGAUGUGAAACCAUACCCGUGCCUUUUCUGGUUUCUAUCUGGGUAUUCCGACUUUCGAUUUAAAAAAAAAGAAAAUAAAAAUACGCAUCUCGUUCUUGAUACUCGUCCAUCUCCAACCUGAAAAAUACGCAUAAUAAAUCCAACUCCACCUUACAAGGUCACGUGACGAUCACAUGCACAUCAUUUUCUUAUAAUCACGUACACAAUACAUGCCCAUAACCACAAAUUAAAAAAGAAGAAGGAGAAACUCAUAAUUCAUUCUUCUUCUUCUUCUUCUUCUUCUUCGUAUAAUCCCCAUUAACGCAUGCCUACCCAACCUUGUACCCAUCGCCUACCGAAUUCCUUCAAAAGGGCUUCCACUCUCUCCACGAAUUUUUAGACUUGAUCACUGAAACCUAUAACCAAUUAAAGACGUACCUUUGCUUGAUCGAAUAAACAUUGACAACAAUGAAUAAAAAGGUACUCGCUCGUGUUAAAAGCAAUCCCAAGC
rnacentral:lncRNA from 1 species